CCCGCCCCCAGAGGCCUUGCAGGUGUGGCUGCUGUUUCACGUGUGCAUCAGUAGGUGGCAGAGCGGAGGGCAGUUACGUCUACGCUCAAAGUUCUGACCUGUGAACAUCUGAAUGUUGUGUAGCCUAACAUU
ensembl:snoRNA Gm25076 predicted gene, 25076